ACGCUCUCUGACGUCGCCGGGGGUCCCUCCCACCUUCCCCAGCCCCGCCCUUCUUCAGUGCCUGAUAAAAGUCGAGCUCUUCCCACGCCCUGUCAGCUACGGGCGCCUGGAAAACCGGGAGAGCGGAUCCCCCAGCAGCAGCCAGAAGGCCCGGGGACACCUCAUAGCAACAGCCAGCCGGGGCAUCUAGUAGGAAGCUGGGAUUCAUUUCAGCCAACCAGCCCGCGUUUUUGGACCCCGUGGUAUCAUUCUCGACCAAUAGAGAGCCGCUUCAUGCCACGUGACACUGACCCAUCAGCCAAUGGAGGAAAAGUCUAGUCGCAGGCUCAGCCAUCCCAUCUGCCACUGUUGGCCAGGCUGGGCGUUUGCCCCUGCGCACACUCUGCCAACCAAUCAUAGGUCCCCAAAAGUUGAGAAGCUCUGGACUGGAGUGCAUCUGAUAGAAGUUGUCACAAAAAAAUAACUUUGAUUAAGAGUCAUCACUGAAGUGCAGUCCAGCAACGAUUACAUCUGAUAAACUGCAAAAUGGAGAAUCUAGGAUUCUUGAAGCUACUGUCAGAUAAUAGGGUCUCUGAAUGAACUGAAUCCAAAUACAGCCAGCUCUGAAGCACUCCCAGGUGAGCUUUUCUGAUUUUUCUGUGACAAUUCACAAAGCCCUGG